AUGAGUACGAGCAUUUUUUUUAUUUUUUUUUGCCGAUGCCCGUGAUGCCGCCCCCCACCACGAUGCCGCCAGUAUCAAAAACCGCUACUGCUUGUGGGGAAAGAUGUAUGGGGCUGAAAUUGGCGCCCAGGCCCUGAGCAGGCUUCUCAUUGCGUAUCAGUGGACUCAGAGACACUUCCAACUCUUUGGCAACCUGUCCACCAAUGCUGCCAUUAUGUGAAACCACAAACUAGCCAAGCACGGAAGGACUGUGAUGGUUGGUCUGGAAAAUGCUGUGAAGAACAACAUUAAGCAGACCUACGCCAAAACUGAGCGUUAUGCACUCUGAGUAGCUCCGUGUUGAUCCUGACAACUUCAGGGUGCUUUCUGAAAUUGUCGCUUUUUGUGUGGCCUCCAAGUUUGGACCUCAAGUCUUCGCCCCUGAUGUCCAGAUGACCUGGCAGACAUUCCUCGCUGUGGUCGUCUCUGCCCUGGGCAAACAGUACCACUGAACUUGUGGAAUUAUAGUUCAUAUUCAUAACCAAAUAAUUUACAGCAGUGCUUCCGCUU